rnacentral:rRNA from 1 species
UACGGAGGGUGCAAGCGUUAUCCGGAUUCACUGGGUUUAAAGGGUGCGUAGGCGGGACUGUAAGUCCGUGGUGAAAUCUCCGAGCUUAACUCGGAAACUGCCGUGGAUACUAUAGUCCUUGAAUGUUGUGGAGGUUAGCGGAAUAUGUCAUGUAGCGGUGAAAUGCAUAGAUAUGACAUAGGACACCAAUUGCGAAGGCAGCUGGCUACACAAAUAUUGACGCUGAGGCACGAAAGCGUGGGGAUCAAACAGG